CAGCUACUGUAAGGUGAUAAACCACUUACAUCCCAGCUACUAUAAGGUGAUAAACCACUUACAUCCCAGCUACUAUAAGGUGAUAAACCACUUACAUCCCAGCUACUAUAAGGUGAUAAACCACUUACAUCCCAGCUACUAUAAGGUGAUAAACCACUUACAUCCCAGCUACUAUAAGGUGAUACAUCACUUACAUCCCAGCUACUAUAAGGUGAUAGACCACUUACAUCCCAGCUACUAUAAGGUGAUAAACC